rnacentral:rRNA from 1 species
CCUACGGGAGGCUGCAGUGGGGAAUAUUGGACAAUGGGCGAAAGCCUGAUCCAGCCAUGCCGCGUGUGUGAAGAAGGCCUUCGGGUUGUAAAGCACUUUCAGUGGGGAAGAAAGCCUUGGGGCUAAUACCCUCGAGGAAGGACAUCACCCACAGAAGAAGCACCGGCUAACUCCGUGCCAGCAGCCGCGGUAAUACGGAGGGUGCGAGCGUUAAUCGGAAUUACUGGGCGUAAAGCGCGCGUAGGCGGUCUGAUAAGCCGGUUGUGAAAGCCCCGGGCUCAACCUGGGAACGGCAUCCGGAACUGUCAGGCUAGAGUGCAGGAGAGGAAGGUAGAAUUCCCGGUGUAGCGGUGAAAUGCGUAGAGAUCGGGAGGAAUACCAGUGGCGAAGGCGGCCUUCUGGACUGACACUGACGCUGAGGUGCGAAAGCGUGGGUAGCAAACAGGAUUACAUACCCUAGUAGUC